UACGUAGGGUGCGAGCGUUGUCCGGAAUUAUUGGGCGUAAAGGGCUCGUAGGCGGUUUGUCGCGUCAGGAGUGAAAACUCGGGGCUUAACUCCGAGCCUGCUUCUGAUACGGGCAGACUAGAGGUAUGCAGGGGAGAACGGAAUUCCUGGUGUAGCGGUGAAAUGCGCAGAUAUCAGGAGGAACACCGGUGGCGAAGGCGGUUCUCUGGGCAUUACCUGACGCUGAGGAGCGAAAGUGUGGGGAGCGAAC
rnacentral:rRNA from 1 species